rnacentral:rRNA from 1 species
AGUGAACGCUGGCGGUAGGCCUAACACAUGCAAGUCGAACGGCAGCACAGUAAGAGCUUGCUCUUACGGGUGGCGAGUGGCGGACGGGUGAGGAAUACAUCGGAAUCUACUUUUUCGUGGGGGAUAACGUAGGGAAACUUACGCUAAUACCGCAUACGACCUACGGGUGAAAGCAGGGGAUCUUCGGACCUUGCGCGAGUGAAUGAGCCGAUGUCGGAUUAGCUAGUUGGCGGGGUAAAGGCCCACCAAGGCGACGAUCCGUAGCUGGUCUGAGAGGAUGAUCAGCCACACUGGAACUGAGACACGGUCCAGACUCCUACGGGAGGCAGCAGUGGGGAAUAUUGGACAAUGGGCGGAAGCCUGAUCCAGCCAUACCGCGUGGGUGAAGAAGGCCUUCGGGUUGUAAAGCCCUUUUGUUGGGAAAGAAAAGCAGCAGGUUAAUACCCCGCUGUUCUGACGGUACCCAAAGAAUAAGCACCGGCUAACUUCGCG